rnacentral:rRNA from 1 species
CGGGGAAUUUUGGACAAUGGGCGCAAGCCUGAUCCAGCCAUACCGCGUGAGUGAAGAAGGCCUUCGGGUUGUAAAGCUCUUUCAGCCGGAAAGAAAUCGCACUGGUUAACACCUUGUGUGGAUGACGGUACCGGAAGAAGAAGCACCGGCUAACUACGUGCCAGCAGCCGCGGUAAUACGUAGGGUGCGAGCGUUAAUCGGAAUUACUGGGCGUAAAGCGUGCGCAGGCGGUUUUGUAAGACAGGCGUGAAAUCCCCGGGCUUAACCUGGGAACUGCGUUUGUGACUGCAAGACUAGAGUGUAGCAGAGGGGGGUAGAAUUCCACGUGUAGCAGUGAGAUGCGUAGAUAUGUGGAGGAAUACCGAUGGCGAAGGCAGCCCCCUGGGAUAACACUGACGCUCAUGCACGAAAGCGUGGGGAGCAAACAGGAUUAGAUACCCAUGUAGUCCCUGAGCGGGCUGGCAAGGCGCAU